GGAGUAAAAGUCGUAACAAGGUUUCCGUAGGUGAACCUGCGGAAGGAUCAUUAUUGUAUAACCGAGGUGCGAGGGCUGUCGCUGACCCGAAAGGUCGUGCACGCCCGAGUGCCCUCACACACAUCCAUCUCACCCCUAUGUGCACCACCGCGUGGGUCCCCCUUUGGCUUGUUCGGAGGGGGGCUUACGUUUUCACACAAACUUUGUAUGCAGUGUAGAGUGUAUUUUUUGUUUUUGCGAUCACGCAAUCAAUACAACUUUCAACAACGGAUCUCUUGGCUCUC
rnacentral:misc_RNA from 1 species